GAUGAACGCUGGCGGCGUGCCUAAUACAUGCAAGUCGAGCGAACAGACGAGGAGCUUGCUCCUCUGACGUUAGCGGCGGACGGGUGAGUAACACGUGGAUAACCUACCUAUAAGACUGGGAUAACUUCGGGAAACCGGAGCUAAUACCGGAUAAUAUAUUGAACCGCAUGGUUCAAUAGUGAAAGACGGUGUUGCUGCCACUUAUAGAUGGAUCCGCGCCGCAUUAGCUAGUUGGUAAGGUAACGGCUUACCAAGGCAACGAUGCGUAGCCGACCUGAGAGGGUGAUCGGCCACACUGGAACUGAGACACGGUCCAGACUCCUACGGGAGGCAGCAGUAGGGAAUCUUCCGCAAUGGGCGAAAGCCUGACGGAGCAAAGCCGCGUGAGUGAUGAAGGUCUUCGGAUCGUAAAACUCUGUUAUUAGGGAAGAACAAAUGUGUAAGUAACUAUGCACGUCUUGACGGUACCUAAUCAGAAAGCCACGGCUAACUACGUG
rnacentral:rRNA from 1 species